rnacentral:rRNA from 1 species
UACGAAGGGGGCUAGCGUUGCUCGGAAUCACUGGGCGUAAAAGCGCACGUAGGCGGCUCUUUAAGUCAGGGGUGAAAUCCUGGAGCUCAACUCCAGAACUGCCCUUGAUACUGAGGAGCUUGAGUCCGGGAGAGGUGAGUGGAACUGCGAGUGUAGAGGUGAAAUUCGUAGAUAUCAGGAGGAACACCGAUGGCGAAGGCACUUUACUGGGCUAUUACUAACACUCAGAGACGAAAGCUAGGGUAGCAAAUGGGAUAAGAAACCCUUGGUAA